rnacentral:ncRNA from 2 species
CCCAUCGAACAGGGGUGCUCCGUAUCGCCGGGGCUGAGAGGAAGGCGUCAGGCCUUCAAACCCUCAAGCUGAUCUGGGUAAUGCCAGCGGAGCGAGUUAAGCCAUGUUUUCA